rnacentral:misc_RNA from 1 species
GAUGAAGAACGCAGUGAAAUGCGAUACGUAAUGUGAAUUGCAGAAUUCAGUGAAUCAUCGAGUCUUUGAACGCACAUUGCGCCCCCUGGUAUUCCGGGGGGCAUGCCUGUCCGAGCGUCAUUGCUGCCCUCAAGCACGGCUUGUGUGUUGGGCCUCCGUCCUCCUCCCGGGGGACGGGCCCGAAAGGCAGCGGCGGCACCGCGUCCGGUCCUCGAGCGUAUGGGGCUUCGUCACCCGCUCUUGUAGGCCCGGCCGGCGCUUGCCGACACAUCAAUCUUUUUUCCAGGUUGACCUCGGAUCAGGUAGGGAUACCCGCUGAACUUAAGCAUAUCAAUAAGCGGAGUA